UAACACAUGCAAGUCGCACGAGAACGCUCCUGCUUGCAGGAGCUAGUAAAGUGGCGCACGGGUGAGUAACGCGUGGGUAAUCUAUCUUCGGAUUGGGGAUAACAUUGCGAAAGCGAUGCUAAUACCGAAUAAUAUCGGGACCGUUUCGGCGGAUCCGAUCAAAGGUGGUCUCUCCUUGGAAACUACCGUUUGAAGAUGAGCCCGCGUCCCAUUAGCUAGUUGGCGGGGUAACGGCCCACCAAGGCCGCGAUGGGUAGCUGGUCUGAGAGGAUGAUCAGCCACACUGGAACUGACACACGGUCCAGACUCCUACGGGAGGCAGCAGUGAGGAAUUUUGCCAAUGGGGGAAACCCUGACGCAGCAACGCCGCGUGAGUGAUGAAGGCCCUCGGGUCGUAAAGCUCUGUCAAGUGGGAAGAACCUGUCUGAUGUUAAUACCAUCGGGCACUGACGGUACCACUGGAGGAAGCACCGGCUAACUCCGUGCCAGCAGCCGCGGUAACACGGGGGGUGCAAGCGUUAUUCGGAAUUAUUGGGCGUAAAGGGCGCGUAGGCGGUCCUGUAAGUCAGAUGUGAAAGCCCGGGGCUCAACCCCGGAAGUGCAUUUGAAACUAUAGGACUUGAGUAUGGGAGAGGGAAGUGGAAUUCCUGGUGUAGCGGUGAAAUGCGUAGAUAUCAGGAGGAACACCGGUGGCGAAGGCGGCUUCCUGGACCAAUACUGACGCUGAGGCGCGAAGGCGUGGGGAGCAAACAGGAUUAGAUACCCUGGUAGUCCACGCAGUAAACGGUGAUCACUAGGUGUAGCGGGUAUUGACCCCUGCUGUGCCGGAGUUAACGCAUUAAGUGAUCCGCCUGGGGAGUACGGCCGCAAGGUUAAAACUCAAAGGAAUUGACGGGGGCCCGCACAAGCGGUGGAGCAUGUGUGUUUAAUUCGACGCAACGCGAAGAACCUUACCUGGAUUUGACAUCCCGGGAAUCUCCUGGAAACAGGAGAGUGCCCUUCGGGGAGCCUGGAGACAGGUGCUGCAUGGCUGUCGUCAGCUCGUGUCGUGAGAUGUUGGGUUAAGUCCCGCAACGAGCGCAACCCUCAUCUUUAGUUACCAUCAUUUGGUUGGGGACUCUAGAGAUACUGCCCCGGUCAACGGGGAGGAAGGUGGGGAUGACGUCAAGUCCUCAUGGCCUUUAUGUCCAGGGCUACACACGUGCUACAAUGGACUGUACAGAGGGUAGCGAUCCCGCGAGGAGGAGCCAAUCCCAAAAAGCAGUUCGUAGUUCGGAUUGGAGUCUGCAACUCGACUCCAUGAAGUUGGAAUCGCUAGUAAUCGCGGAUCAGCAUGCCGCGGUAAAUACGUUCCCGGGCCUUGUACACACCGCCCGUCACACCAUGAGAGUUGGUUGUACCAGAAGUUGUUGGGCAAACCCUUCGGGGAUGCAGGCACCUAAGGUAUGGCUGAUGAUUGGGGUGAAGUCGUAACAAGGUA
rnacentral:rRNA from 1 species